rnacentral:lncRNA from 10 species
GGGCGACACAGCAAGACUCCGUCUCAAAAAAGAAAAAAAAAGGAACCCUACAAGAAACAAGAAACCGUGGGUGCAUUCUUGCAGUGUGGGAGGGGAAGGCAUUCCCAAUGAAUAAAGGACAUCAGGCAACAAUUAAAGAGAAGACUGAUACACUGAACUCCAUAUAUUGGAAAACAAAAAACUUUAGCUUGGCAAAAAAAAUCAUAAACAAACUGAGGGAAAAUGUUUGCACCACCACAAAAGAGCGAAUAUGCCAGUCGUAGGAAGAUCUAAGAGUCUGGAAAAAGCAAGGUCAAAAAUACACGAGAAAGUGCAGGAGACAUAACCCAACAGCUCAGAGAAAAUGUGUGUGCGUGAGCCUGUGUGUGCACGUGUCUACACGUGUGUAGACAUAUGUGUGCAUACAAAUGUGUGUAUGUACAUACACAGGGGUAUGUGUGUGGGUGUGUGUGUACAGGUGUGCGGACGUGUGUAUCUACAAUAUAUGUAUAUACGGCAGUGCCUGCGUGCAUACCCAUAUCCCUUAAACAAUGAAAGGUUGUUCAGGUUCUCUCAACAAAAAUACAAGUUGAAACUACAUCCACCAGGCUGACAGAGCUCUGACAACGGUGCGGCUGUUGGCGAGGCAGCAGGGAGCAGGCCUGAGGGGCUGGCGGGGAAGCCGAGCUGGAGACGCACCGGUGCUGUCUGGACAGAAUCAUAUUCCCUUGUAUGGAUG